AGUGAACGCUGGCGGCAGGCCUAAUACAUGCAAGUCGAACGGCAGCACAGCAGAGCUUGCUCUGUGGGUGGCGAGUGGCGGACGGGUGAGGAAUACGUGGGAAUCUGCCCAGUCGUGGGGGAUAACGUAGGGAAACUUACGCUAAUACCGCAUGCGCCCUUCGGGGGAAAGCCGGGGACCUUCGGGCCUGGCGCGAUUGGAUGAGCCCACGUCGGAUUAGCUAGUUGGCGGGGUAAAGGCCCACCAAGGCGACGAUCCGUAGCUGGUCUGAGAGGAUGAUCAGCCACACUGGAACUGAGACACGGUCCAGACUCCUACGGGAGGCAGCAGUAGGGAAUAUUGGACAAUGGGCGCAAGCCUGAUCCAGCCAUGCCGCGUGAGUGAAGAAGGCCCUC
rnacentral:rRNA from 1 species